AACGAACGCUGGCGGCAGGCUUAACACAUGCAAGUCGAGCGCCCCGCAAGGGGCGCGGCAGACGGGUGAGUAACGCGUGGGAAUCUACCCAUCUCUACGGAAUAACGCAUGGAAACGUAUACUAAUACCGUAUACGUCCUUCGGGAGAAAGAUUUAUCGGAGAUGGAUGAGCCCGCGUUGGAUUAGCUAGUUGGUGGGGUAAAGGCCUACCAAGGCGACGAUCCAUAGCUGGUCUGAGAGGAUGAUCAGCCACACUGGGACUGAGACACGGCCCAGACUCCUACGGGAGGGAGCAGUGGGGAAUAUUGGACAAUGGGCGCAAGCCUGAGCCAGCCAUGCCGCGUGAGUGAUGAAGGCCCUAGGGUUGUAAAGCUCUUUCACCGGUGAAGAUAAUGACGGUAACCGGAGAAGAAGCCCCGGCUAACUUCGUGCCAGCCGCCGCAGUAACAC
rnacentral:rRNA from 1 species